CGCCCCUCAGGGCGCGGCCCCUCGGGCACCCUCGCCCCGCUCCGCCCCGACCCCCACCCCGUGUCGGGGGUUCGCCUCCUGCGAGGGGUCGGGGGGCUGCUUGAUGCUCCCGUCCGCGGGAAUUGAGGAUUUGAGGAUUUCAGCUGUCCCCACACUGAAUCAACACCAAAAUCCAGCAUGAUAGGUGUGCCCUCUCUUCGGAGUUGCUGCCAGCUCACACCUGCUCAAAGCUGAGGAGAGGACGUUAUUUUGAGUUGCUUCGAGUGCCUGAGAAGCCUCCACCAAACCACCAAUUCCUUCAGCUGAUAUUAAAGAAUUAAUUGAAGAAUUAAUUGAGGAAUUAAUUGAAGAAUUAACUCCUGCACCCUGCAAAGCAAGAUUCAGGGUGGAGGGAUCUGCCCAGGGUUGGAUUUCUGCCUGCCAGACAAAGACCUGACAGCAUUUGUGGUGAAAUAAUCUGCUCUGUUUGCAGACUGGAGGAGAAAUCCUUUCUGUACAGCUGAGUUCCUUUGAGCCUGGUGACCCCCCAAGCCACGUGCCCACCUCCAGGAAGGGCAGAAGCUUGUUUUGGCAUGGUGCUGGAUUUCCCUGGACCAUGGAG